CCCUUAGAUGUCCUGGGCCGCACGCGCGCUACACUGACAUGUUCAACAAGUUUCUCCUAGUUCGACAGGACUGGGAAAUCUUUGAACGCAUGUCGUGAUAGGGAUAGAUCAUUGCAAUUAUUGAUCUUGAACGAGGAAUUCCUAGUAAACGCGAGUCAUCAGCUCGCAUUGAUUACGUCCCUGCCCUUUGUACACACCGCCCGUCGCACCUACCGAUUGAAUGGCUUAGUGAGGUCUCCGAAUUGGCUUUGGGGAGCCGGCGACGGCACCCUAUUGCUGAGAAGCUGAUCAAACUUGGUCAUUUAGAGGAAGUAAAAGUCGUAACA
rnacentral:rRNA from 1 species